rnacentral:rRNA from 1 species
CCCUUGUAUUAAUAUUUAUAUUAGGUUAAUAAUAAGUAUUGAAAACUAAAAAUUUUGGUAGUUAAUAAUAUAUUAGAGGAGCUUGUUAGAGUUAGGAAUUUACUCCUUAAAUUUUAAUAAGUAUAUUGUUUAUUCAUUUCUGCUAUAAAAUAAGUAAUAAAGAGUUAUUUAAAAUUUCAGGUCAAGAUGUAGCAUUUAUUAUUGAUAAUUAGCUACAAUUAUAUAAUAUUGGUUAGAGUCUUGUAUAAAAAUUUUAUAAAUUGAAUUUAGUUGUAAUAGUGUUUAGAAAAAUAUUAUGAUUUAGAAUUAUUGAUGC